rnacentral:rRNA from 1 species
AGCGAACGUAUCACUUAAAGCGAUUCAGCGGGUUACGAUUGACGGAGCGAAGCGACGUCAAAGCGUAUACAAAGUCGAGUCGGUUUAAGGAUACGUUCGUUGGGUAGGGGAGCGUUCUGUAAGCCUGUGAAGGGGGCCUGUGAGGGUUGCUGGAGGUAUCAGAAGUGCGAAUGCUGACAUAAGUAACGAUAAAGCGGGUGAAAAGCCCGCUCGCCGGAAGACCAA